GGAGAGAGAUGAGAGGGAUAGAGGAGACAAUGGGGGUAAUUUAGGUAUCAUCGUAUGACAAUCUGUUUUAUACAAAUUCAAUUUAAAGAACAGGAACAACAAAAAAUUCAUUUUCAAGGGAUAUGCUCGGUUCUCCACAGUCCUGGAACUGUUUGUUCCAUCUGGGUUUCAUUAACUGGUUGCACAUGUCAUUUACAUCCCUACUGUUUACAUGGCCUCGAAUAGAACCCGAUGCUCCAGAAGAUCUGAUAAAACACCCCUCAUCUUGUCAACAGAGACAGGUUUCAGUAUUACACCAUCCAUGCCGACCUUCAUGCAGUUUUCCUUUGUCACCUUGUUUGCGUUUCCAGUAAGCGCCACUAUUAAUGGCCUUUCAUGACGUUUUGUGAAUCUUUCAUGUAUGCGGAUAGCAACUUCAAAACCAUCAGGCAUGCACACAUCCAUAAAUACCACCUUGUGGUCCAGAGAAACUACUCGUAAACACUCAUCGCUG
rnacentral:misc_RNA from 1 species